AACGAACGCUGGCGGCAUGCCUAACACAUGCAAGUCGAACGAGACCUUCGGGUCUAGUGGCGCACGGGUGCUUAACGCGUGGGAACCUGCCCUUAGGUUCGGAAUAACUCCCCGAAAGGGGAGCUAAUACCGGUUAAUGUCUUCGGACCUAAGAUUUAUCGCCUUUGGAUGGGCCCGCGUUGGAUUAGCUAGUUGGUAGGGUAAAAGCCUACCAAGGCGACGAUCCAUAGCUGGUCUGAGAGGAUGAUCAGCCACACUGGGACUGAGACACGGACCAGACUCGGAGGGAGGGCAGCAGUGGGGAAUAUUAGAGGAGGAGCCAAAGCCUGACCCAGCAAUGCGGCGUGAGUGAUGAAGGGCUUAGGAUUGUAAAUCCCUUUUACCCGGGAUGAUAAUGACAGUACCGGGUGAAGAAGCACCGGCUAACUACGUG
rnacentral:rRNA from 1 species